rnacentral:rRNA from 1 species
CCUACGGGAGGCAGCAGUGAGGAAUAUUGGUCAAUGGUCGGGAGACUGAACCAGCCAAGCCGCGUGAGGGAUGAAGGUACAGAGUAUCGUAAACCUCUUUUGUCAGGGAACAAAGGCGGGGACGCGUCCCCGGAUGAGUGUACCUGAAGAAAAAGCAUCGGCUAACUCGGUGCCAGCAGCCGCGGUAAUACGGAGGAUGAGAGCGUUAUCCGGAUUUAUUGGGGUUAAAGGGGGGGCAGGCGGUCUGUUAAGUCAGCGGUCAAAGCCCGGGGCUCAACCCCGGCCCGACGUUGAAACUGGGAGUCUGGAGUUGAGGAGAGGUAUGCGGAAUGCGCGGUGUAGCGGUGAAAUGCAUAGAUAUCGCGCAGAACUCCGAUUGCGAAGGCAGCAUGCCGGCUCCACACUGACGCUGAGGCACGAAAGCGUGGGUAUCGAACAGGAGUAGAUACCCUUGUAGUC